GAUUCGGCAAGCGCGGCCGCGGAGACCCGGGGGUGGAGGACGUCUUUCGCCCUCAGGGCAGCCCGGAUGACAGCUAAUGCGCCUGGGCAAGGCGUUCUCAACUGCGAUUCCCGGCCUUAAAUGUCCUCUCAACUUUUAAAAGUUAUUUAUUCAAAGUGCAUUUGCUGACUAAACCUUCACUGAGCGCCUUCCUAGAGAGUCUCACUCUAUCACCCAGGCUAGAGUGCAGUUGUGUGAUCACCCAACAGUCCCCACAGUUCUUCUGGGCUCAGGUGAUUCUCCCACUUCAGCCUCCCAAGUAGCUGGGACUACAGACCAUUGGUUCUGGGAAGCCAGCUGCCAUAUGGUGAAGACCCUCAAACAGCCCAGGGCAGAGGCCAAUGUGCCAACAACCAAGUGAGUGAGCAAUCUUAGAAGUGGAUCCUGCAGCCCCAGGAAAGCUUUGGAUAACUGCAACCCUAAUUGAUGUCAUGAAAGACCUUAAACCAAAAUCGAUCAGCAAAGCCACUCCCGAAUUCCUGACCCACAGAACC
rnacentral:lncRNA from 1 species